GACGAACGCUUGCGGCGUGCUUAACACAUGCAAGUCGAACGGAAAGGCCCUGCUUUUGUGGGGUGCUCGAGUGGCGAACGGGUGAGUAACACGUGAGUAACCUGCCCUUGACUUUGGGAUAACUUCAGGAAACUGGGGCUAAUACCGGAUAGGAGCUCCUGCUGCAUGGUGGGGGUUGGAAAGUUUCGGCGGUUGGGGAUGGACUCGCGGCUUAUCAGCUUGUUGGUGGGGUAGUGGCUUACCAAGGCUUUGACGGGUAGCCGGCCUGAGAGGGUGACCGGCCACAUUGGGACUGAGAUACGGCCCAGACUCCUACGGGAGGCAGCAGUGGGGAAUAUUGCACAAUGGGCGGAGGCCUGAUGCAGCAACGCCGCGUGCGGGAUGACGGCCUUCGGGUUGUAAACCGCUUUCGCCUGUGACGAAGCGUGAGUGACGGUAAUGGGUAAAGAAGCACCGGCUAACUACGUGCCAGCAGCCGCGGUGAUACGUAGGGUGCGAGCGUUGUCCGGAUUUAUUGGGCGUAAAGGGCUCGUAGGUGGUUGAUCGCGUCGGAAGUGUAAUCUUGGGGCUUAACCCUGAGCGUGCUUUCGAUACGGGUUGACUUGAGGAAGGUAGGGGAGAAUGGAAUUCCUGGUGGAGCGGUGGAAUGCGCAGAUAUCAGGAGGAACACCAGUGGCGAAGGCGGUUCUCUGGGCCUUUCCUGACGCUGAGGAGCGAAAGCGUGGGGAGCGAACAGGCUUAGAUACCCUGGUAGUCCACGCUGUAAACGGUGGGUACUAGGUGUGGGGUCCAUUCCACGGGUUCCGUGCCGUAGCUAACGCUUUAAGUACCCCGCCUGGGGAGUACGGCCGCAAGGCUAAAACUCAAAGGAAUUGACGGGGCCCCGCACAAGCGGCGGAGCAUGCGGAUUAAUUCGAUGCAACGCGUAGAACCUUACCUGGGUUUGACAUGGAUCGGGAGUGCUCAGAGAUGGGUGUGCCUCUUUUGGGGUCGGUUCACAGGUGGUGCAUGGCUGUCGUCAGCUCGUGUCGUGAGAUGUUGGGUUAAGUCCCGCAACGAGCGCAACCCUUGUUCACUGUUGCCAGCACGUUAUGGUGGGGACUCAGUGGAGACCGCCGGGGUCAACUCGGAGGAAGGUGGGGAUGACGUCAAGUCAUCAUGCCCCUUAUGUCCAGGGCUUCACGCAUGCUACAAUGGCUGGUACAGAGAGUGGCGAGCCUGUGAGGGUGAGCGAAUCUCGGAAAGCCGGUCUCAGUUCGGAUUGAGGUCUGCAACUCGACCUCAUGAAGUCGGAGUCGCUAGUAAUCGCAGAUCAGCAACGCUGCGGUGAAUACGUUCCCGGG
rnacentral:rRNA from 1 species